rnacentral:tRNA from 1 species
AUUCACAUAGCUUAUAUAUGAGAGCAUUGCAUUGAAGCUGCAAAGGAAAUAAUUAUUAUUUGUGAAUA